AGUUAAUGAACUUGAAUAAGUAUAUGUCUUGAAUACAUAAUAUAGAAUUAAAAAUUCUAUUAACUU
rnacentral:tRNA from 1 species